rnacentral:tRNA from 1 species
UAUAUUUUAGUAUAAAAUGUAUAAAAGUUUUUGAAGCUUUAGGUAGUAGAUUUAUUCUAUUAAAUAUAA